UACCGUCACCAACGUAUCGGAUAUUGGGCGUAAGAGCUCGUAGGCGGUUUGUCGCGUCUGCUGUGAAAGACCGGGGCUCAACUCCGGUUCUGCAGUGGGUACGGGCAGACUAGAGUGCAGUAGGGGAGACUGGAAUUCCUGGUGUAGCGGUGAAAUGCGCAGAUAUCAGGAGGAACACCGAUGGCGAAGGCAGGUCUCUGGGCUGUAACUGACGCUGAGGAGCGAAAGCAUGGGGAGCGAACAGGAUUAGAUACCCUGGUAGUCCAUGCCGUAAACGUUGGGCACUAGGUGUGGGGGACAUUCCACGUUUUCCGCGCCGUAGCUAACGCAUUAAGUGCCCCGCCUGGGGAGUACGGCCGCAAGGCUAAAACUCAAAGGAAUUGACGGGGGCCCGCACAAGCGGCGGAGCAUGCGGAUUAAUUCGAUGCAACGCGAAGAACCUUACCAAGGCUUGACAUGAACCGGUAAUACCUGGAAACAGGUGCCCCGCUUGCGGUCGGUUUACAGGUGGUGCAUGGUUGUCGUCAGCUCGUGUCGUGAGAUGUUGGGUUAAGUCCCGCAACGAGCGCAACCCUCGUUCUAUGUUGCCAGCGCGUUAUGGCGGGGACUCAUAGGAGACUGCCGGGGUCAACUCGGAGGAAGGUGGGGACGACGUCAAAUCAUCAUGCCCCUUAUGUCUUGGGCUUCACGCAUGCUACAAUGGCCGGUACAAAGGGUUGCGAUACUGUGAGGUGGAGCUAAUCCCAAAAAGCCGGUCUCAGUUCGGAUUGGGGUCUGCAACUCGACCCCAUGAAGUCGGAGUCGCUAGUAAUCGCAGAUCAGCAACGCUGCGGUGAAUACGUUCCCGGGCCUUGUACACACCGCCCGUCAAGUCACGAAAGUUGGUAACACCCGAAGCCGGUGGCCUAACCCUUGUGGGGGGAGCCGUCGAAGUGGGACCGGCGAUUGGACUAAGUCGUACCAAGGGUAAACCAA
rnacentral:rRNA from 1 species